GAUUAACGCUGGCGGCGUGCAUAACACAUGCAAGUCGAACGAUGAAACUUAAAUGAUUUCUUCGGAAUGAACUUAAGUGGAUUAGUGGCGGACGGGUGAGUAACGCGUGAGUAACCUGCCUUACACAAGGGGAUAGCCGUUGGAAACGACGAAUAAUACCCUAUGAAACUAUCACUUCGCAUGAAGCGAUAGUCAAAGUGUUAGCGGUGUAAGAUGGACUUGCGUCUGAUUAGCUAGUUGGUGAGAAAAAAGCCCACCAAGGCAACGAUCAGUAGCCGGCUUGAGAGAGUGUACGGCCACAUUGGGACAGAGACACGGCCCAGACUCCUACGGGAGGCAGCAGUGGGGAAUUUUGCACAAUGGGGGAAAUCCUGAUGCAGCGACGCCGCGUGAUUUAGCAGGCCUUCGGGUUGUAAAAAUCUUUUGUAUAGGAAGAAAAUGACAGUACUAUACGAAUAAGGACCGGCUAAUUACGUG
rnacentral:rRNA from 1 species